rnacentral:rRNA from 1 species
CGAGUUUGAUUCUGGCUCAGAACGAACGCUGGCGGCGUGCCUAAUACAUGCAAGUCGAACGGGGAAAGCUUUCGGGUGAGUACUAGUGGCGCACGGGUGAGGAACGCGUGGGUAAUUUUCCUUGAAGUGGGGGAUAACUAGUCGAAAGAUUAGCUAAUACCGCAUAAGACCACGAAAUCUGAGGAUUUUGAGGUAAAAGGUUUUUCGCUUCAAGAUAAGCCCGCGUAAGAUUAGCUAGUUGGUGAGGUAAUGGCUCACCAAGGCGACGAUCUUUAGCUGGUCUGAGAGGAUGAUCAGCCACACUGGAACUGAGACACGGUCCAGACUCCUACGGGAGGCAGCAGUAGGGAAUAUUGCACAAUGGAGGAAACUCUGAUGCAGCGACGCCGCGUGAGUGAUGAAGGACUUCGGUUCGUAAAGCUCUGUCGCAUGGGAAUAAUAAAUGAAGGUACCAUGCAAGAAAGGAUCGGCUAACUUCGUGCCAGCAGCCGCGGUAAGACGAGGGAUCCUAGCGUUGUUCGGAAUCAUUGGGCGUAAAGCGGGUGUAGGUGGCUCUGCAAGUCAAGUGUGAAAGCCCCGGGCUUAACCUGGGAAGUGCAUUUGAUACUGCUGAGCUUGAGUGCUGGAGAGGUCAUUAGAAUUCCUGGUGUAGUGGUGAAAUACGUAGAUAUCAGGAGGAAUACCGGAGGCGAAGGCGGAUGGCUGGCCAGACACUGACACUCAGACCCGAAAGCGUGGGGAUCAAACAGGAUUAGAUACCCUGGUAGUCCACGCUGUAAACGAUGGAUACUUGUUGUUGGAGGUAUUGACCCCUUCAGUGACGCAGUUAACACGGUAAGUAUCCCGCCUGGGGAGUACGGUCGCUAUCGUGACGGAAUUAAUAGACGCUAAGAUCGGAAGAGCACACGUCUGAACUCCAGUCACUAAUGCGCAUCUCGUAUGCCGUCUUCUGCUUGAAAAAAA